UACGAAGGGGGCUAGCGUUGUUCGGAAUCACUGGGCGUAAAGGGCGCGCAGGCGGCCAUUCAAGUCAGAUGUGAAAGCCCCGGGCUCAACCUGGGAGGUGCAUUUGGGACUGGAUGGCUUGAGAUCGGGAGAGGAGAGUGGAAUUCCCAGUGUAGAGGUGAAAUUCGUAGAUAUUGGGAAGAACACCGGUGGCGAAGGCGGAUCUCUGGGCCAUUACUGACGCUGAGGAGCGAAAGCGUGGGGAGCGAACAGG
rnacentral:rRNA from 1 species